rnacentral:rRNA from 1 species
GUUGUAAGGUUAAGUAAUGAAGCGUACAGGGAGGAUGCCUAGGCAGUCAGAGGCGAAGAAGGGCGUGUUAAUCUGCGAAAAGCGACGGUAAGCUGAUAAAAAGCGUGUUAGCCGUCGAUACCCGAAUGGGGCAACCCAGUGCAGAAUAUGCACUAUCGUGAUAUGAAUAAAAUAGUAUUGCGAGGCAAACCAGGGGAAUUGAAACAUCUCAGUACCCUGAGGAAAAGAAAUCAACCGAGAUUCCCUAAGUAGCGGCGAGCGAAAGGGGAGGAGCCCUGAGUCAUCAACAUCUUUGCGCAGUUAGGGGAAUCGUUUGGGAAGACGAGCCAUAGAGGGUGAUGGCCCCGUACCUGAAAAUUGUAGCAGAGUAGACUCGAUAGAGUAGGACGGGACACGUGAUAUCCUGUUUGAAGAUGGGGGGACCAUCCUCCAAGGCUAAAUACUAAUGACUGACCGAUAGUGAACUAGUACCGUGAGGGAAAGGUGAAAAGAACCCUAGCACAGGGAGUGAAAUAGAUCCUGAAACCAUAUGCGUACAAGCAGUGGAAGCCUAAUAUAAUUAGGUAACUGCGUACCUUUUGUAUAAUGGGUCAGCGAGUUAUUUUCGGUAGCAAGCUUAACCAUAUCGGGGAGGCGCAGGGAAACCGAGUCUUAAAUGGGCUGUAUAGUUUCCGGAAAUAGACCCGAAACCGAGCGAUCUAUCCAUGAGCAGGUUGAAUAGUUAAGUAACAUUAAUAGAAGGACCGAAACUAUACAGCCCAUUUAAGACUCGGAUGACUUGUGGAUUGGAGUGAAAGGCUAAUCAAGCUCGGAGAUAGCUGGUUCUCCUCGAAAGCUAUUUAGGUAGCGCCUUAUGUAGUUUAAUUGGGGGUAGAGCACUGUUACGGCUAGGGAGUCUUAUAGAUUUACUAAACCGAUGCAAACUUCGAAUACCAAGAAUAACAGCAUAGGAGACACACUGUGGGUGCUAACAUCCAUAGUGGAAAGGGAAACAACCCAGACCGUCAGAUAAGGUCCCAAAAUCUUAGUUAAGUGUAAAACGAGGUGGGAAGACUAAGACAGCUAGGAGGUUGGCUUAGAAGCAGCCAUCCUUUAAAGAAAGCGUAAUAGCUCACUAGUCAAGUUCACCUGCGCGGAAAAUAUAACGGGGCUAAAACUAAGUGCCGAAGCUACGGGUUUAUAUAGAAAAUAUAGGCGGUAGAGGAGCGUUGUGUAGGUCUGUGAAGGGAUAUUGAAAAAUGUUCUGGAGAUAUCACAAGUGCGAAUGCUGACAUGAGUAACGAUAAGGGAUGUGAGAAACAUCCCCGCCGAAAAACUAAGGUUUUCUGUUCAACGGUAAUCGGAGCAGAGUUAGUCGGCCCUAAGGUGAGGCUGAAAAGCGUAAUCGAUGGAAAAUGGGUUAAUAGUCCCAUACCAUAUGUAAUUGCGAUGGGGUGACGAAUAAGGCUAUGCGGGCCCAGCGUUGGUUGUCUGGGUUUAAGUAUGUAGGUUUAGAAGUUAGGUAAAUCCGAUUUCUUAAUAAAACCAAGGUAUGAGACGAACAGUGAAGUCGUUGAAGCCAAAAUUCCAGGAAAAACCUCUAAGCUUCAGAUUACAUAUGACCGUACCAUAAACCGACACAGGUGGUUAGGUAGAGCAUACUAAGGCGUUUGAGAGAACUCGGGUGAAGGAACUAGGCAAAAUGGUGCCGUAACUUCGGGAGAAGGCACGCUGGCGUUAGGUGAAGGGACAUGCUUCUGGAGCCGAGGCCAGCCGCAGAGACCAGCUAGCUGCAACUGUUUAUUAAAAACACAGCACUGUGCCAACACGUAAGUGGACGUAUACGGUGUGACGCCUGCCCGGUGCCGGAAGGUUAAUUGAUGGUGUGAGUGUCAAAGCAAAGCACUUGAUAGAAGCCCCGGUAAACGGCGGCCGUAACUAUAACGGUCCUAAGGUAGCGAAAUUCCUUGUCGGGUAAGUUCCGACCUGCACGAAUGGCGUAAUGAUGGCUAGGCUGUCUCCACCCGAGACUCAGUGAAAUUGAAUUUGCUGUGAAGAUGCAGUGUUCCCGCGGCAAGACGGAAAGACCCCGUGAACCUUUACUAUAGCUUGACACUGAAUAUGAAACCUUAAUGUGUAGGAUAGGUGGGAAGCGAAGAAGCGUAGACGCCAGUCUAUGUGGAGCUGCUGUUGAAAUACCACCCUUUGAUGUUUGAUAUUCUAACUUGGUCCCGUUAUCCGGGGUGAGGACAGUGUCUGGUGGGUAGUUUGACUGGGGCGGUCUCCUCCUAAAGAGUAACGGAGGAGUACGAAGGUCAGCUCAUCACGGUCGGACAUCGUGAGGUGAGUGCAAAGGCAUAAGCUGGCUUGACUGCGAGAGUGACGGCUCGAGCAGGUACGAAAGUAGGUCUUAGUGAUCCGGUGGUUCUGAAUGGAAGGGCCAUCGCUCAACGGAUAAAAGGUACUCCGGGGAUAACAGGCUGAUACCGCCCAAGAGUUCAUAUCGACGGCGGUGUUUGGCACCUCGAUGUCGGCUCAUCACAUCCUGGGGCUGAAGUAGGUCCCAAGGGUAUGGCUGUUCGCCAUUUAAAGUGGUACGCGAGCUGGGUUUAGAACGUCGUGAGACAGUUCGGUCCCUAUCUACCGCGGGCGUAGGAAGUUUGAGAAGAGCUGCUCUUAGUACGAGAGGACCGGAGUGGACGAACCUCUGGUGUUCCGGUUGUCAUGCCAAUGGCAUUGCCGGGUAGCUAAGUUCGGAAUGGAUAACUGCUGAAAGCAUAUAAGCGGGAAACCAACUUCAAGAAAAGACUUCCCAGGUUAAAACCCUAAAGGGCCCUCGAAGAAGACGAGGUUGAUAGGCACGGUGUGUAAGAGUGGUAACACUUUAAGCUAACGUGUACUAAUAGUCCGUGAGGCUUUAUCAUAUAU